rnacentral:rRNA from 1 species
AUUGAACGCUGGCGGCAGGCCUAACACAUGCAAGUCGAAUGGUAACAGGAAACAGCUUGCUGUUUCGCUGACGAGUGGCGGACGGGUGAGUAAUGUCUGGGAAACUGCCCGAUGGAGGGGGAUAACUACUGGAAACGGUAGCUAAUACCGCAUAACGUCGCAAGACCAAAGAGGGGGACCUUCGGGCCUCUUGCCAUCAGAUGUUCCCAGAUGGGAUUAGCUAGUAGGUGGGGUAACGGCUCACCUAGGCGACGAUCCCUAGCUGGUCUGAGAGGGUGACCAGCCACACUGGAACUGAGACACGGUCCAGACUCCUACGGGAGGCAGCAGUGGGGAAUAUUGCGCAAUGGGCGCAAGCCUGAUGCAGCCAUGCCGCGUGUAUGAAGAAGGCCUUCGGGUUGUAAAGUACUUUCAGCGGGGAGGAAGGGAGUAAAGUUAAUACCUUUGCUCAUUGACGUUACCCGCAGAAGAAGCACCGGCUAACUCCGUG